GACGAACGCUGGCGGCGUGCUUAACACAUGCAAGUCGAACGGAAAGGCCCUGCUUUUGUGGGGUGCUCGAGUGGCGAACGGGUGAGUAACACGUGAGUAACCUGCCCUUGACUUUGGGAUAACUUCAGGAAACUGGGGCUAAUACCGGAUAGGAGCUCCUGCUGCAUGGUGGGGGUUGGAAAGUUUCGGCGGUUGGGGAUGGACACGCGGCUUAUCAGCUUGUUGGUGGGGUAGUGGCUUACCAAGGCUUUGACGGGUAGCCGGCCUGAGAGGGUGACCGGCCACAUUGGGACUGAGAGACGGGCCAGACGCCUACGGGAGGCAGCAGGGGGGAAUAGUGCACAAGGGGCGGAAGCCGGAUGCAGCAACGCCGCGUGCGGGAUGACGGCCUUCGGGUUGUAAACCGCUUGCGCCGGUGACGAAGCGUGAGUGACGGUAAUGGGUAAAGAAGCACCGGCUAAAUACGUG
rnacentral:rRNA from 1 species